rnacentral:lncRNA from 1 species
CCCCACCAAACUGCCCACGCUCCGGCAGUGCGUGGGUGGCUUGAGAAAUUUCUGGUGGCCGGAAAAACUCCAAACCGCCGGUCCAAACUCCUAACUUAGGUAAAACACCCAUUUUGGAACCACUUUUGUUCUUAGACCUACCUCAAAAAGUGGCCGGAAGUGGCCGGAAUCACACUCUCAAAACCGGCUGAAACCUAGAUUGAAAAAUC